CACGUAGGGCGCAAGCGUUGUCCGGAAUUAUUGGGCGUAAAGAGCUCGUAGGCGGUCUGUUGCGUCUGCUGUGAAAACCCGGGGCUUAACCCCUGGCUUGCAGUGGAUACGGACAGACUAGAGGUAGGUAGGGGAGAAUGGAAUUCCCGGUGUAGCGGUGAAAUGCGCAGAUAUCGGGAGGAACACCGGUGGCGAAGGCGGUUCUCUGGGCCUUACCUGACGCUGAGGAGCGAGAGCGUGGGGAGCGAACAGG
rnacentral:rRNA from 1 species